rnacentral:rRNA from 1 species
UACGAAGGGGGCUAGCGUUGCUCGGAAUCACUGGGCGUAAAGCACACGUAGGCGGAUCAUUAAGUCGGGGGUGAAAUCCUGGAGCUCAACUCCAGAACUGCCUUCGAUACUGAAGAUCUCGAGUCCGGGAGAGGUGAGUGGAACUCCGAGUGUAGAGGUGAAAUUCGUAGAUAUUCGGAAGAACACCAGUGGCGAAGGCGGCUCACUGGCCCGGUACUAACGCUGAGGUGCGAAAGCGUGGGGAGCAAACAGG